GCACCUAGAUGGUGGUCGGUUCAUGUACUGAAAUUGGAACAAUCCAAGGAAGAUUAGCAUGGCCCUGCACAAGGAUGCCACGCAAAUCGUGAAGCGUUCCAUAUUUUC